AAUUGGCUGACGGCUUGAAGAUGAGACAUAAAAGAAAGAGAGUCAUGAUGAUGACUCCAAGAUAACACUUACUCUGUGUGUGUCCAUGUAGCUGGAACGACACAAUUGCUACUUACUGAGAUGGGGAUGAAAGCAGAAGGACACGUUAACUUUGGAAGUGGUAUCAUGCAUCCUAAAAUUUCAACUGAAGAAACCGUUUCAAGCAGGAGAGGGUGACCAAUCAAAUACUGGGGAGAGAAGAGAAUUGACCUUUGUGGUUUGUAGCAACAAGGAGGACACUGUUGGACAAGAACAGACUCAUUGGAGAGUUUCUGUACAUAUGAAUGGAAAAGACCAUUUCUACUCUAAAAGAUGAGAUUAUAUACAUGGAUUUACUCUCUCGUCUUCCUUCGGCUGUGGCCCACCUACUCAGGGCUCUAUUUAUAAAGCUGGCUUGGCAUGUAAUUUGGUUGCCUAAUGGAAUGGAGGUGAAUAACAAGUGGUCCCACUGUAAAGUAAUCAUGUGCAAGACGGAUGACGUAGAACAUUUGGUUUCAAGAACUUCCUGCACUAUUAGUCCCUUGGGUAAUACAUCUUAGCUUCUCCUAGUGCGUAUUGUACCACAAUUACGCUGCACAUUUUCAGCUUUUGCAAAAUGCACCAGUGUGCCAGGGCCAGACUGACAUAUCUCCACAUCGAUGGUUCCUAAUAAAACAACAACUGACAAGAUACAUUUUUAGCCGCAAAUACAGCUCCUUCAAGGUUGUGCUGUGUCAAAAUGCUGUGAUGAGAUGGCAUUGUGAGGAGUUACUACUGCUGAAGCACACCAUAUUACUUCUGUUUUCAUCGAAGAUAAAU